GAUGAACGCUGGCGGCGUGCCUAAUACAUGCAAGUCGAGCGAAUGGAUUAAGAGCUCGCUCUUAUGAAGUUAGUGGCGGACGGGUGAGUAACACGUGGGUAACCUGCCCAUAAGACUGGGAUAACUCCGGGAAACCGGGGCUAAUACCGGAUAACAUUUUGAACCGCAUGGUUCGAAAUUGAAAGGCUGCUUCGGCUGUCACUUAUGGAUGGACCCGCGUCGCAUUAGCUAGUUGGGGAGGUAACGGCUCACCAAGGCAACGAUGCGUAGCCGACCUGAGAGGGUGAUCGGCCACACUGGGACUGAGACACGGCCCAGACUCCUACGGGAGGCAGCAGUAGGGAAUCUUCCGCAAUGGACGAAAGUCUGACGGAGCAACGCCGCGUGAGUGAUGAAGGCUUUCGGGUCGUAAAACUCUGUUGUUAGGGAAGAACAAGUGCUAGUUGAAUAAGCUGGCACCUUGACGGUACCUAACCAGAAAGCCACGGCUAACUACGUGCCAGCCGCCGCGGUAA
rnacentral:rRNA from 1 species